rnacentral:sRNA from 1 species
CUCGUCGUGUCAAAGUGGGCAAGUACUC